GUCUCAGUUCCAAACUUGCGAAGCAGGUGGCGAGUCAACUCAAAAGUUCCGAUUUGCACUAACUAUCACAGUACAAAAACCCGAUUUCCAAAUAAAUCAUUGGUUGCUUACAAAAAUGUGCAAUUUUAAUACUCCUCUUAAAAACCUUGUUUGUCAAACUGGGUAUAAACGGUUACAAAUGAGUCAGCUGCCUUAGAUCUCUACAGUUACAAGCAAAAACGAAACAUUCUUUUCGUCUCGAUCUUCAAGGAAUUUGACCUUUUUAUGUUGGCUAACUCUUGCUACCACAGCACAGCCUUCUAACUGCACCUCAGAGUAUCUCUGUUUUUGUUUAUUCGUCUCGGGAAAUGAAACAAUAGCUCGUGACGCCUACAAGACAAGAUACGACUGAUAUAGUAAGAUUUUUUUUCUCAGGUAUUCCAGAAUUUUAGCCCAGUUGAUACACGCGAAUGUAGUCAACUUGCAUCGUGUUGUCCUCCGUUGCAGCAUUCCAUGUGGGUAGCCAUUUGUCACGGCUUUCCCAGAAAGUUUUCAUCUGUGUCGGGUCAGAGGCUGUCCAUGGUUUAUCGUAAACUGCGUUUUGGCACCCGUCAGGAAAAAAAUUGCCUCCAACGGCGACAUUAAGCAAGAAGUGGAACUACGCGUUCAAAAAUGUUGAUUAACACUUUUCGAAAAACAAAGCAAAUUAAUUUAGGCAGAUUUUUUAUAUCUUAAUACUCUUUGAUCGAAAGGUGCCAUGACGGUGCCGGAGCUCCACAAAUUCUGUCCAUUAAAUCCACCCAAUUCCCAGAAUCCACCUGCUGGUGGAUACAUUUCACCAAUCAUUUGAUUAUCAAUGUAAAAUUGAAAGCCGUUUGGGAGCCACUCGACACGAAAGGUAUGGAAAUCAGUGGCGAAAUCGGGAUUUUGAAUAAUCCUAGAGCAAAUGUUAGUGCUGCUGUUUGAAUAAUUUGCGUAGGCAUGAAACGUACUUUUCCCAGUGGGUCGAUUCGUAACGGUUUUGACUAGGAUCUGGACCCCAAUGCAAAGUGCUGCCGGCCAAUUGUCUCCCAAUUGGAUAUCCAUUGCAUGAAAAGUCGUCGUUUCCUCUUGUUUCUACAAUGUCAAUCUCACCCGAUCGCGGCCAACCGCCGUAAACGUUGUCCGUAGGAAGCAUCCAAAUAGCUUUUGAAAGAAAAAAAAUUAAUUUCUUUAAUGCUAAAUCAAGUUUUAUGAAAAAUUGCUCUAUGAGGAAUUACCUGGCCAAAGCCAAUCUCCUUUAGGCAUUUUAGCCCUGACUUCGAUCGUUCCAUAGGUGAAACUGAAUGAAUCGCUUGUUACCAUCCGGGCAGACUGGGCAGGAUUGAUAAUUUCAUUUCCAGCCACUCUAAUGAAAGAAAUUAGUCGAGAACCGAAAGAAUGUGUUAUAUUUAGAAUAAUUACACGUAGCAGCCUCCGUCAGUGUCUACGUUGCAGCCCUCCUGAUUCAAAUCGAGUACGCCAUUGUACAGAAAAUCCUCGCCGAAACGGUCCGCAGUCAAAGUUGGCUUUAUGUACAGAAUACCGUCUCGGACAUAACUAUGAUAAUACUAUGCUAUUUUAAACAAUUUUAUCUAUUUUUUCAGAGACUAAUUGUACCUGUUUUCUGGUAGGUUGCCGUAAUACUGGAAUUCGUUGCUACCACCUCGCCAUGCUGUGAUCAAGUGUUUCCAUCUGCUGUAGUCAAGAGUGUCGAAUUCUUCCUGCCAAAUGAUAGGGCCACGUGCCUGGCUUUGGAUGCUGACUGCAUGGCAAACGGUCAACCCAAAAAAGGCAAAAACGGAUCCGGCCCCCAAUGCAAAGUACUUCCAGCCAAUUGUCGCCCAUUAGGAUUGCCAUCACACGAGAAAUUGGCGUUUCCUUUUGUUUCUACUAUGUCGAUUUCGCCUGAUCACGGCCAAUUGCCAUA